rnacentral:lncRNA from 1 species
AAAAUGCUCUGAGUUGGAAAAUAAAACUUUCCAGACAAGAAUUGUGGAAAACGUCUUCGUGUUUCUGAACAGGCUGUUGGGAAGUUUGCUUUGAAAUUUUAACCCAGGAUUUAUAUAAGCUAACCGGCUUUCGAACAAUCGGUGCAACGAUAUGACCGAUCAGAUUUCGAAUUGAUCUUUGAACCCGGAAAUACCGAAGUUGUUACCGUCUAGUAUUACAAUAGCGAUUGUUUUUAAUAUCACAGAAUUUAUGAGCCGAGGUAUCGAAGAAAUGGUUUAUUUAGACAUUGAAAUAACCUGUACCGUUUGAAAAUCUAUAAAGGUGAGAUACAGUUUGCUAUUUUUGAUCUGUUAUAAAUAGAAUACUUUUAAUAAAUGCAAAUUAAGUGAAUAUUUAAUAUUGUAUAAAUUUGUAUGCAUAUAGCGAACGUGACAAUUAUUUUCUGAUGUUUUGGUUGUGUCACUUGUGUGCUGACAUGUUAUACAUCAUUCGAUUCAACGCACUAUUCAAAAGAGGAACAUUUCAGAUUAUAUAAAUCCAUAUUCUGUAUAUAAACAGCAAGUUUUGCUUCUCUUACAAAAAAGUCCAAGGCCAACCUAUGUUCCUAUAGGAAACCUAUUGCUUUUAUAGGCAAUUGGAUAUAAGCCUAUAUAUAGCUCUAUAGGUGCCUAAGGGCUUCCAUAGGGAAUUAAAGGCACUGAUAGGCCACCUAUAGACUUUUUUCAUAAAGAUCUGCAUUAUAAUAUUAACCCUGCGCCCUACUUUAUUAUUUUACUCUGUCUAACGCCAGACGAUUUUACUUGUCAGGGGGAGAGUGCUUCCACUCAAUGCAUGGGUUAAUUGGACUAUCUUCCCAUGCACCUGUUAUGCGCAAAUCAAAUUAAUCGAAACUUUGAAAUCCUCCAGGCAUACCUGGGGAAUUUGCUUGUUUAGUAUUUGAAGAAGGCAGGAAUUUGACCUUUUUUUCUAGUGGAAGGUGGGGAAUUUGUUUAGGGGGUCGGGAAUUUGAAUUUUUCUAUAAAACUUGUGUGCUGAAUUCAAAAUGGCGUCAGUGACAAUGGAUGAGUUCAAGUGCGGAGAAAUUAACUUUGUCCUUGGUUGGCUACAACAAAAUGACUUUGAACGAUUGAAGAGAGUUUCUGAAGGAAAGAAAAAAUUUGUAAUUCCAAAAUUACAAAAUGCUGUAGCUUCCAAUUCGUACAUGGGGUGGGGCAUUUGAACUCCAAUUUUUCACAAUAUGUGGUGUAUUUGAAUGGGAAUUACAAAUAUAUGUGAAUUUGACCUGACCAAAACGUCAAAAUCCAUAUGCCAGGGGUGUGUGUGUCAAGGUUUUGAUUUGAUUCGCGCAUUAACCCUUUAAGUGGCAUUGCGCCCUACUUCAUUUGCUCUGUCUAACGCCAGACAAUUUUACUUGUCAGGGGAGAUCUAGAGUGCUGCCACUCAAUGGCAGGGUUUCUGACUCCAUCUUGCCAAUUAGUGGGGCAAACACAAUUUAGAUCGGGUAACAUUUCCAUGACCCUAGGGACCAGUAUUCCCAUUGGGAUGAGUAUUCCUUUUUGCCCCACUUGGAAAGAUGGCUUCUCAUUUAACUCCAUAAAGGCAGUUCUAACGUUUCCCUGGAAGUUUCUAAUAAAAUAUAAUUGAAUUCAGAUUGGAAUCACGAUCAGCGUUUUUUUAGCUCAGUUUCAACAUGAAUUUUGAGCUCAGUCUCAAAUCACACCAAGUGCAGGUGAUCGAUCACUGGUUUGCUAUAAUCAUGCAUGUAUAAUGUUGUAUAUUAUGUGAUGCACACCAGUUUAAAGCACAAACACUGUACCAGUACAUCACAUGCAGUUUCAGGUUUCAGUCAUUGCCCUGUAGUGGCCGUAGCAAGAUGACUGCUUUUUUAUAUGAUCUUAUAUAUCUUUGGAAUGGCAACAUCUGGUUGGUCUGCGAGAUACAGUAAUUACAAUGAGAUUAGCCAAUUUAAUAUACUGUAACAGUGUCAUGUUUAGCAGUUUUAGGACUUGUGUAUAGGAAUGUAGUCAUAUUCCUGAAUGUUAUGACUUAAAAAAAUGAGAGGAUCGAAGCGUCAUCGAAGAGGAAGCAUCAUUCCACAGUUUUGGUAAUAAGCGCCUCAGCAUAAUAUAUCUUCUUUUAGAAGACCCUCUAUUAAUCUGAAAUCUGUCUAAUAGGGACACUUUUUUAUGUCUCGCCUUCAGUGCAUGUCUAUAUUAGAAAAGGGAAAGGAAAAAGGGAAGGUGGAAGGGAAAGAAGAAGGGAAAGAAGAAGGGAAAGAAAGAGGGAAACAAGGGAAGAGGGAAUGGAUGGAAACAAAGAAAGAAACCAACUCCUGCACAGCUACUGAACAUGUUUGUUCAAAACUACAUAUUCAAUAUAUUGUUCACAAACAGACAAGCUUGGAUCCAAACUACCUGAAGAAUAUAAAGAGAAGUUCUAAUUCUUAGACUUGGAGGGUGAGAGUUGAUGAUUGUUGGUAAGUGAGAGUUUGCAUGAGUUUCUCAAUUCUCGUACCUGACUGUCAAAUGAGAAUAUUUACCUCACGUGUAUUGAAAACUCUCAUCCUCACAUUUAAUUUAUUGGUUAUUCACAGUUGCCAAAGGCACGAGAUUUGUAGGGGGGUCUGGGGGGGGGGGCAUUUUUAAAAUUUGGAUCCCUGAAAUGGCAUUUGCAGCAUUCUGAGAGCACAUUUUGUAAGAAAUUCCAUGUUUUCAAAACAUUAAGUUAAUGGUGCAUUUUGGUAUAAAUCAUGUGGUAAGCAUAAGAAAACGGUAACCUGAACUUGCAGUACGUAAUAAAUAUCUAAACCAGAGAAGUGAAAGAACACCUGAAAAUUCCUACCUAUAGAAUAGAUACUGUAUAGUCCGUAGUAAAUUUGAUACAAUUAAUUGCUAUUGUUUUAUGAAAACUCGGAAGAUACUCAAAAUUAUAUAUGCAUGUAUAUCAUAAGUCUAUAUUCUGAGUGACGUAACUGGACACGAUUAAAGUUACAUUCAUUGGUAUUGUGACAGUCUCCAUAUUGACUCUGCCUUGCUUAAAACCGAGUGCGAACGGGCGAAGAUUCUAAUUGCUGCCGGAAAGAACAUCGACCCUGAGCUGUACCCCAACUUAUUCAAGGUGAUCGCCAUAUCAAAGACCUUGCCAGUUGUUACUGCAACCGUGGAAAGAAGCUUCAGUGUUAUGAAUCGGAUAUUGAGCUGGGCUCGUCAUAAUGAAUACAAAUCGUUUCGCCCCCAAGUCGAUUUGCCCCAAGUCGUCACCGACUUUGUCAAACCUUUUCACGCUUUUGUUUUCGUUUGAAAUGUCAGCUUUGGCUUUGACAAGUUUGAAGCAUGCAUGCAUUAGCGUUGGCCAGUGACUUUGUGUUGCUAUCCAUGAAUAAAGACCUGUUAAAAAGGAUAAACUUGGACAAAGUGCUUGAUCGAUGGGUAAAUCAAAAAUCCCGAAUAGUACAGUUUAUAAGAAAAGACUUGUAGCGCAGCUAGCGCUUAAAACUAAUUUAAUUUGACUUUUUUCAGAAUUCAUAACACUCAUUGUGUGACUUGUGAGAUCAUAAAUUUAGAAUACUUUAGCUUGUUUUUAGCUUGUUUCUAUUAAAACUUGCCAUUUCGUUGCUGUUGUUAUUGUAACAAAUAGUGCUUCCUUAUAUCAUGCUUUCAUUUUUCAAAAUGAAUUAUGAAAUCUAGCUAAAAUAUAAUUUUAGUAAUUUUUUUUUUUUUUUUUUGGGGGGGCGAUCGCCCCCUCCCUCGCCCCCCCCCCCCUAGUUCCUCCACUGGUUAUUCAGUUUGUCCUUAAGUGUUUAUGGUCAUAAUUAAUGGCAACGGAACAGUUUUUAUUUUUUUUGGGAGGGGGCCUUGGGGGGUCUAAUUUCCAUAAAUUGUGCAACAUAAUGAUAUGCGUGAUAUUCCCCCAAUACGUGAUAUCAAGCAUGCGUACUUCUUUGCUGCGAAGAGUUGUGAUGAGCUGUUUGCCGGACACUAGGAAUUUUUGUCACGAAUGACAAAAAUAUGUUUUAUAUUUGUUGUUCACGACACGAGUGACAAAAAUCCUGAAUAUUUUCCCCGCACACUAGGAUUUUUGUCACACGUAAUUGAUCACGAAUGACGAGAAUGACAAGUGUGCGUGCAACUUGCACUAGUGUGCGCCGGCCUUUGGAGUAUACGUAUAACAUCAGAGGCUGUAUAUUGCAUGUGUCCUGAAACCUUUAGACCUUCUAAGGAGACAUCUAACAUAUUUAGAAUGUUUGCUGACUCAAGUGCCCUUUCUGGUCAGUACCCCUUCACUGUCGAGGUGCUUCCGCGGUCUCUGAUUGCCAGCAAUAGAUGGACUAAAUUCAUUUGCUUUCAGAUCGACAAGAUAUAAUACUUUUCCAUUACCGUUAUUUGAUGUCACUGAUGACUCAAAACAAUGGCAAUUACAGCCAAGCAUCUGGUGAAGUUAUCAAUGCUAUUUAUGAAAUGUCGAAAGGCUCAAGCAUGCUCUUGAUGGAAAAAUUG